rnacentral:lncRNA from 1 species
UGCAAUUGACACCUAUAUAAUAAAGUGUGCUAAAGUUGAGAAAGGAGAAACCUACCAAAGACCAUCACACGGCGAUGAAAGUUGAUAUAUCAUUGUUUUCAUAAAAAUUAAAGCAACUUGUACCUUCUUCUUUUACAUUACACACUAAAAACCACAACCUCUCAAAACUAACCACUAAACCCCACUUCAUAAUACACUACCUCCAUCACUGUUCACAAAACCAUAUUCUCC